rnacentral:rRNA from 1 species
UACGUAGGUGGCAAGCGUUGUCCGGAUUUAUUGGGUUUAAAGGGUGCGUAGGCGGCCCUGUAAGUCAGCGCUGAAAUAUCCCGGCUUAACCGGGAGGGUGGCAUUGAUACUGCGGGGCUAGAGUACAGAUGAGGUAGGCGGAAUUGACGGUGUAGCGGUGAAAUGCUUAGAUAUCGUCAAGAACACCUAUAGCGAAGGCAGCUUACUAGGCUGUAACUGACGCUGAGGCACGAAAGUGUGGGGAUCAAACAGG